CCUACGGGAGUCAGCAGUGGGGAAUAUUGCGCAAUGGGCGAAAGCCUGACGCAGCGACGCCGCGUGAGUGAUGAAGGUCUUCGGAUCGUAAACCUCUGUCAGCAGGGAAGAACGGUCACUGUGCUAAUCAGCAGUGAAUUGACGGUACCUGCAAAGGAAGCACCGGCUAACUCCGUGCCAGGAGCCGCGGUAAUACGGAGGGUGCGAGCGUUAAUCGGAAUUUCUGGGGGUAAAGCGCUCGUAUGCGGUAUGUCAAGUCAAGUGUGAAAUCCCCGAGCUCAACGUGGGAAUUGCCUUUGAAACUGGCAAACUUGAGUGGGUGAGAGGUGAGUGGAAGUCCAGGUGUAGGAGUGAAAUCCGUAGAGAUCUGGAGGAACAUCAGUGGCGAAGGCGACUAUCUGGCACAUAACUGACGCUGAGGAGCGAAAGCGUGGGUAGCAAACAGGAUUAGAUACCCUUGUAGUC
rnacentral:rRNA from 1 species